UUAAGCGACUAAGCGUACACGGUGGAUGCCCUGGCAGUCAGAGGCGAUGAAGGACGUGCUAAUCUGCGAUAAGCGUCGGUGAGGUGAUAUGAACCGUUAUAACCGGCGAUUUCCGAAUGGGGAAACCCAGUGUGUUUCGACACACUAUCAUUAACUGAAUCCAUAGGUUAAUGAGGCGAACCGGGGGAACUGAAACAUCUAAGUACCCCGAGGAAAAGAAAUCAACCGAGAUUCCCCCAGUAGCGGCGAGCGAACGGGGAGGAGCCCAGAGCCUGAAUCAGUGUGUGUGUUAGUGGAAGCGUCUGGAAAGGCGCGCGAUACAGGGUGACAGCCCCGUACACAAAAAUGCACAUAUUGUGAGCUCGAUGAGUAGGGCGGGACACGUGGUAUCCUGUCUGAAUAUGGGGGGACCAUCCUCCAAGGCUAAAUACUCCUGACUGACCGAUAGUGAACCAGUACCGUGAGGGAAAGGCGAAAAGAACCCCGGCGAGGGGAGUGAAAAAGAACCUGAAACCGUGUACGUACAAGCAGUGGGAGCCUCUUUAUGGGGUGACUGCGUACCUUUUGUAUAAUGGGUCAGCGACUUAUAUUCUGUAGCAAGGUUAACCGAAUAGGGGAGCCGAAGGGAAACCGAGUCUUAACUGGGCGUUAAGUUGCAGGGUAUAGACCCGAAACCCGGUGAUCUAGCCAUGGGCAGGUUGAAGGUUGGGUAACACUAACUGGAGGACCGAACCGACUAAUGUUGAAAAAUUAGCGGAUGACUUGUGGCUGGGGGUGAAAGGCCAAUCAAACCGGGAGAUAGCUGGUUCUCCCCGAAAGCUAUUUAGGUAGCGCCUCGUGAAUUCAUCUCCGGGGGUAGAGCACUGUUUCGGCAAGGGGGUCAUCCCGACUUACCAACCCGAUGCAAACUGCGAAUACCGGAGAAUGUUAUCACGGGAGACACACGGCGGGUGCUAACGUCCGUCGUGAAGAGGGAAACAACCCAGACCGCCAGCUAAGGUCCCAAAGUCAUGGUUAAGUGGGAAACGAUGUGGGAAGGCCCAGACAGCCAGGAUGUUGGCUUAGAAGCAGCCAUCAUUUAAAGAAAGCGUAAUAGCUCACUGGUCGAGUCGGCCUGCGCGGAAGAUGUAACGGGGCUAAACCAUGCACCGAAGCUGCGGCAGCGACACUAUGUGUUGUUGGGUAGGGGAGCGUUCUGUAAGCCUGUGAAGGUGGCCUGUGAGGGUUGCUGGAGGUAUCAGAAGUGCGAAUGCUGACAUAAGUAACGAUAAAGCGGGUGAAAAGCCCGCUCGCCGGAAGACCAAGGGUUCCUGUCCAACGUUAAUCGGGGCAGGGUGAGUCGACCCCUAAGGCGAGGCCGAAAGGCGUAGUCGAUGGGAAACAGGUUAAUAUUCCUGUACUUGGUGUUACUGCGAAGGGGGGACGGAGAAGGCUAUGUUGGCCGGGCGACGGUUGUCCCGGUUUAAGCGUGUAGGCUGGUUUUCCAGGCAAAUCCGGAAAACCAAGGCUGAGGCGUGAUGACGAGGCACUACGGUGCUGAAGCGACAAAUGCCCUGCUUCCAGGAAAAGCCUCUAAGCAUCAGGUAACAUCAAAUCGUACCCCAAACCGACACAGGUGGUCAGGUAGAGAAUACCAAGGCGCUUGAGAGAACUCGGGUGAAGGAACUAGGCAAAAUGGUGCCGUAACUUCGGGAGAAGGCACGCUGAUAUGUAGGUGAAGCGACUUGCUCGUGGAGCUGAAAUCAGUCGAAGAUACCAGCUGGCUGCAACUGUUUAUUAAAAACACAGCACUGUGCAAACACGAAAGUGGACGUAUACGGUGUGACGCCUGCCCGGUGCCGGAAGGUUAAUUGAUGGGGUUAGCGGUAACGCGAAGCUCUUGAUCGAAGCCCCGGUAAACGGCGGCCGUAACUAUAACGGUCCUAAGGUAGCGAAAUUCCUUGUCGGGUAAGUUCCGACCUGCACGAAUGGCGUAA
rnacentral:rRNA from 1 species